AAUAGUUUAAUGUCACAUCAAUAUUUUAAUCCUGAAUUUUCAACAUUUUCACCUUAAAAAAAAUUCAAAUCUAAAUGAAAAUCUUGAAAUUCAGGAUGAAAUUAUUGAUGUAGCAUUAAACUAUU
rfam:Gossypium arboreum cultivar AKA8401 contig_206_9, whole genome shotgun sequence.